GGGGAUGAUCGGUUUCGACAUCGCCUGCGAAACUGCGAGAAGCGGGCCGAGGAUGCAGGGUUAUCUCGUUAACGAUCUCUGCAAAACAUAGGUGCCAACGUUAAGCGCACCGACCUCGCUCUUGCUGCGUAAGUAAGAGUCUGAAGGUCCGUCAGGCCGGGUGAUGCCUCCGACCCGGUUCUGGCGUUAUCUAGGAGGCUUGCUGCGACGUCACGCCUGAGGGCGUCGUGGGACUUGCACUCGGGCUGGGCUCGUCGACCUGGGUGCCUGUGACAAAGGUCGGAGCCGAGUAGAACGCUUCCAUAGGCUACGCCCGUAGAAGGCGCAGGCUCACAGCGAUGGACGGGGGUUCGAUUCCCCCCAUCUCCACCA
rnacentral:tmRNA from 1 species